UGGGCGUAAGGGCUCGCAGGCGGUUUCUUAAGUCUGAUGUGAAAGCCCCCGGCUCAACCGGGGAGGGUCAUUGGAAACUGGGAGACUUGAGUGCAGAAGAGGAGAGUGGAAUUCCAUGUGUAGCGGUGAAAUGCGUAGAGAUGUGGAGGAACACCAGUGGCGAAGGCGACUCUCUGGUCUGUAACUGACGCUGAGGAGCGAAAGCGUGGGGAGCGAACAGGAUUAGAUACCCUGGUAGUCCACGCCGUAAACGAUGAGUGCUAAGUGUUAGGGGGUUUCCGCCCCUUAGUGCUGCAGCUAACGCAUUAAGCACUCCGCCUGGGGAGUACGGUCGCAAGACUGAAACUCAAAGGAAUUGACGGGGGCCCGCACAAGCGGUGGAGCAUGUGGUUUAAUUCGAAGCAACGCGAAGAACCUUACCAGGUCUUGACAUCCUCUGACAACCCUAGAGAUAGGGCUUCCCCUUCGGGAACAGAGUGACAGGUGGUGCAUGGUUGUCGUCAGCUCGUGUCGUGAGAUGUUGGGUUAAGUCCCGCAACGAGCGCAACCCUUGAUCUUAGUUGCCAUCAUUCAGUUGGGCACUCUAAGGUGACUGCCGGUGACAAACCGGAGGAAGGUGGGGAUGACGUCAAAUCAUCAUGCCCCUUAUGACCUGGGCUACACACGUGCUACA
rnacentral:rRNA from 1 species